rnacentral:rRNA from 1 species
UGGGGAAUAUUGCACAAUGGGCGCAAGCCUGAUGCAGCCAUGCCGCGUGUAUGAAGAAGGCCUUCGGGUUGUAAAGUACUUUCAGCGGGGAGGAAGGGAGUAAAGUUAAUACCUUUGCUCAUUGACGUUACCCGCAGAAGAAGCACCGGCUAACUCCGUGCCAGCAGCCGCGGUAAUACGGAGGGUGCAAGCGUUAAUCGGAAUUACUGGGCGUAAAGCGCACGCAGGCGGUUUGUUAAGUCAGAUGUGAAAGCCCCGGGCUCAACCUGGGAACUGCAUAUGAUACUGGCAAGCUUGAGUCUCGGAGAGGGGGGUAGAAUGCCAGGUGUAGCGGUGAAAUGCGUAGAGAUCUGGGGGAAUACCGGUGGCGAAGGCGGCCCCCUGGACGAAGACUGACGCUCAGGUGCGAAAGCGUGGGGAGCAAACAGG